AGUCCAUAAGAAAACAGGAGUGGACAGCUAUCAUACCCAACUCCCAGCUUAUCGUCAUCCCCUAUCCCCAUAACGUUCCUCGAAGCUGGAGUGCCAAGCUGUAUCUGACCCCAAGUAACAUUGUGCUGCUAACAGCUAUAGCCUUAAUUGGUGUUUGCGUUUUCAUCCUGGCAAUAAUUGGCAUAUUACACUGGCAGGAAAAGAAAGCAGAUGACAGAGAGAAGCGACAGGAGGCUCAUCGGUUCCAUUUUGAUGCUAUGUGACAUGCCUUAAUAUUUAUGAUGGAGCUGCUACUCAUUUGCUUAAUUGAAAUACUAAACUCUGAUUUGUAAAGUGAUUACCGCGAAAAUACUGCCGGUGUGCUAUUUGUAAAUGUUGCAUUAUCUGGUAUUUAUUUGGAAAGUAUUAAAAUUAGACCUGAAUGUCUCACAAGGCCUUUCAGUUAACAGACUGUAUAUAAUAGCCCUUGGUCUUUAUUUAACAGAACUGUACAUUUAUUUUUCUUAGUAAAGGGAUCAGAUUGCAUGUACCGCUGUUUACGUGCCACCAGUUCGUUAGGAAUAUUGGCUAGAAAGAAGGCUGUGUAAACCAAGUGUAGCAUUGCGGCGAGCAGAAGGCUUUGGGCCACUUGAAUUGGUAUUGUCACUUACACAUUCCCCCAAGGAACCUGCAUGUCUGAAAAUGAAGCUGGAGCAGUCCCUCCGAUGACCUGGUCACGAGUCAUUUUGAUUGUACUAAAUGGUGCUCAACC